CUCGAGUGGCGAACGGGUGAGUAACACGUGGGUGAUCUGCCCUGCACUUUGGGAUAAGCCUGGGAAACUGGGUCUAAUACCGAAUAGGACUACGCUCUUCAUGGGGUGUGGUGGAAAGCUUUGCGGUGUGGGAUGGGCCCGCGGCCUAUCAGCUUGUUGGUGGGGUAAUGGCCUACCAAGGCGACGACGGGUAGCCGGCCUGAGAGGGCGACCGGCCACACUGGGACUGAGACACGGCCCAG
rnacentral:rRNA from 1 species